rnacentral:rRNA from 1 species
UACGUAGGCAGCAAGCGUUGUUCGGAAUUACUGGGCGUAAAGAGUGUGUAGGCGGUGCUCUAAGUUCGGUGUGAAAUCUCCCGGCUUAACUGGGAGGGUGCGCCGGAAACUGGAGUGCUUGAGCGUGGGAGAGGAAAGCGGAAUUCCUGGUGUAGCGGUGAAAUGCGUAGAUAUCAGGAGGAACACCUGCGGUGUAGACGGCUUUCUGGACCAUUGCUGACGCUGAGACACGAAAGCGUGGGUAGCAAACAGG